rnacentral:rRNA from 1 species
AUGGAGGCCGACGACCCGGCGCCGCGCGGCGGGGCCCCGCCCCGCAUCCGGCGGCUGGAGGAGUCGGUGGUGAACCGCAUCGCCGCGGGGGAGGUGAUCCAGCGGCCGUCGUCGGCGGUGAAGGAGCUCGUCGAGAACAGCAUCGACGCCGGCGCCUCCACCGUCUCCGUCACCGUCAAGGACGGCGGCCUCAAGCUCAUCCAGGUCUCCGACGACGGCCACGGCAUCCGGUGUGAGGACUUGCCAAUAUUGUGUGAGAGACAUACUACCUCAAAGUUGUCUGCAUAUGAGGACCUACAAACAAUAAAGUCCAUGGGGUUCAGAGGGGAGGCUUUGGCCAGUAUGACUUAUGUUGGCCAUGUUACGGUGACAACAAUAACAGAAGGCCAACUGCAUGGCUACAGAGUUUCUUAUAGGGAUGGAGUAAUGGAGAAUGACCCGAAGCCCUGCGCUGCGGUUAAAGGAACUCAAGUCAUGGUUGAAAAUUUAUUCUACAAUAUGGUAGCUCGUAGGAAAACACUGCAGAACUCCAAUGACGACUAUCCAAAGAUAGUGGACUUCAUCAGUCGAUUUGCAGUCCAUCACAUCAAUGUGAACUUCUCUUGUAGAAAGCAUGGAGCCAAUAGAGCAGAUGUUCACAGUGGGACCACGUCUUCAAGGCUAGAUGCUAUUAGGAAUGUCUAUGGGGCUUCGGUUGUUCGUGAUCUGAUGGAAAUACAGGUUUCAGAUGAGAAUGCUGUAGAUGAAAUAUUCAAGAUGGAUGGUUUCAUCUCAAAUGCAAAUUAUGUGGCAAAAAAGACUACUAUGAUUCUUUUCAUAAAUGAUAGACUUGUAGACUGCACUUCUUUGAAAAGAGCUACUGAAUUCGUGUACUCUGCAAUACUGCCUCAAGCAUCCAAACCCUUCAUAUACAUGUCCAUCAAUCUUCCACCAGAACACGUGGAUGUCAAUAUACAUCCAACCAAAAAGGAGGUUAGCCUCUUAAAUCAAGAGCGCAUUAUUGAAAAAAUUAAAGAUGCCAUCGAGGAAAAACUGAUGAACUGUAAUAACACAAGGAUAUUCCAAACUCAGGCACUAAACUCUUCAGCACUUACUCAAGCUAACACACGAAAGGACAAGGGUACCGAAGUCAGCACGCCUACUGGAGAAAAAUCUCAAAAGAUUCCUGUGAGCCAAAUGGUCAGAACAGAUCCACGCGAUCCAUCUGGCAGGUUGCACACCUAUUGGCAAGGUCAAACUUCAAAUCUUGAAAAGAAAUCUGACCUUGUUGCCGUAAGAAAUAUUGUAAGAUCAAGAAGAAAUCCAAAAGAUGCUGGUGAUUUGUCCAGUCGCCAUGAGCUUGUUACAGAAAUAGAUUCUAACUUACAUCCUGGCCUUUUCGAUAUUGUUAAGAAUUGCACAUAUGUUGGAGUUGCCGAUGAAGUUUUCGCUUUGAUACAACACAAUACCCUCUUAUACCUUGUCAAUGUGGUAAAUGUUAGCAAAGAACUCAUGUACCAACAAGCCUUGUGCCGUUUUGGGAACUUCAAUGCUAUACAGCUCAGUGAACCUGCUCCGCUUCUGGAGUUGCUGACAAUGGCACUGAAAGAUGACGAGUCAAUGAGUGAUGUAAAUGAGAAGGAGAAACUAGAAAUCGCAGAAGUGAACACUGAGAUACUAAAAGAAAAUGCUGAGAUGAUUAAUGAGUACUUCUCUAUUCACAUUGAUCAAGGUGGCAACCUGACCAGACUUCCUGUUGUACUUGAUCAGUACACCCCUGAUAUGGAUCGCCUUCCAGAGUUCAUGUUGACUCUAGGAAAUGAUAUUGCCUGGGACGUUGAGAAAGAGUGCUUCAGAACGGCAGCAGCUGCUAUUGGAAACUUCUAUGCGCUUCAUCCUCCCAUCCUUCCAAAUCCAUCUGGCAAAGGCAUUCGAUUAUACAAGAAAAAUAAAGAUUUCAUGGAAAGUGCUGGGCAGGCUGAUAACGAUUUAACAAGUACAGAUGAAGAUGACAUUGACCAAGAGCUGCUUGCGGAAGCAGAGGCGGCAUGGGCUCAACGCGAGUGGACCAUCCAGCACGUCUUGUUCCCGUCCAUGCGACUUUUCCUCAAGCCCCCUAAGUCGAUGGCAACAGACGGAACAUUCGUCCAGAUUGCUUCUCUAGACAAGCUUUACAAGAUCUUCGAGAGAUGCUAG